UGAGUUACUGCUCCGUCUUGCUUUCGUACAGGCUCAGGAUGGAACGUCCUCCGUUACAUCUCAGCUCAGAUGAACAAACUGAAACUCAGACUUAACUGACUGACAAAGGGAAACCAGCUACGAUGCGGAGGGGCUGGGAUUCAAACCCAGGUGGCAUGGGCAGAACAAGGAGGCGUGCACACUGGGGGCAAAACUGUGAAGAAAGAGGUCAGCAUUCAUCCCGCACUGUGAUGUGAAGGGUUGGGACCCACCUAAGGCAUCUUCCUGAGACUCCAUCUGGCCUGCCACUGUGUUUCAGAAGUGCCCCUUUACGGCAGGAGGAUGGGGUGAUUUGCUAAGGUCCCUCCCAGCCUGGAGAUUCUGAGAUUCCAGAAUUACUCCUUUGUAUUAAGACGUUAUUUCUGAAAUGUUAUCCAGAUUUUUUUUUCAUUUGUUAAUUAGUUAAUUGUGUUAUGCAUAUUAGUGUAUAUAUGUCAACCCCAGUC